rnacentral:lncRNA from 1 species
AAAAGCUCACAGCAUACCACAGUUCCCAAUGACUGCAUCUUUUUUGGCUUUUUCUUAUCUAAUGGGAACAGAAUGAACUGGAUCAGGGUUUCUCUAACAAUGUUGGAGAGGAAGUCAGGUUUAUUUAAAAUUUAACUUCUUUUGGCUCUGUUACCACUGGCCUUGGCUGAGCCAUGGCUCGAGGGCAUCCGAAAGCAAUGAGAUCUGGGCAUGGUUUCCAGGAGAGUCCCUGGGAGCAACAGUGAAGUGUCCCUGAACUUGUCAUCAUGGAAAUUACAGUGGCCUUGAGGGUUAAUCACUGAAGUCAGCAUGUAAAGCUGGGUCUGCGUCUGUGUUGCUCCCUCUGUCUCUGCAGAUCCCACACAGCCAAGACACAGAGCAGGUGCUCAGUGUGGAAUAAACAAAGGAAAGUGGGCAGAAAGAUUUACAGUCACCUUGAGGAGACGGUUUGACCUCAUUGCAGAGACAUUAACAGAGCCAAAGAAAGGGUGUGCAGCUUCUCAGGAGAUUUGUUGCUAUUAUAGUAAGAAAGGUUUGGAAAAGAGUGUGAGCAUCUUAAAAGUUACAAUAAUUAAAGCGUGUUAGCUCAGAAACUGAAGACAAAGAAGUAGAGUGGAAUUGAAUUCACAAAUAGACCUAAACACAUAAGAAAAUCUGGUGUACGAUAAGGGUGGCAUUUCACAUAUGUAGGGGGAAACUACAUGUUGAUGAGCCUUCUGGAAAAAAGCCCAACUGAAUCUCUAACUUACUGCAUGCACUGAAAUAAAUUCCAGAUGGAUUAAGUAUGCAUAGGUAAAAAACAAAACCAUAAACAUGCUAGAAGAAAAUAUCAGAGAAUGUUUUCCUAAUCAUGGAGUGGAGAAAAUCUUUCUAAAAUAUGACACAAAUCCCAGAAGUUUUCAAGGAAAAGAUGGUCAGGCUGGGCGUGGUAGCUCACGUCUGUAAUCCCAGCACUUUGGGAGGCUGAGGCUAGUGGAUCACCUGAGUUCGGGAGUUCGAGACCAGCCUGACCAACAUGGAGAAACCCUGUUUCUACUAAAAAUACAAAAAUUAGCCGGGUGUGGUGGUACAUGCCUGUCAUCCCAGCUACUCAGGAGGCUGAGGCAGGCAGGAGAAUCCCUUGAACCAGGGAGGCGGAAGUUGCAGUGAGCAGAGAUCGCGCCAUUACACUGUAGUCUGGGCAACACGAGUGAAACUCCAUCUCAAAAAAAAAAAAAAAAAAAAA